rfam:Oryza punctata chromosome 7, whole genome shotgun sequence.
UUUAAGCACAACCAUAAGUUUCCGUAUCCACCUUUGAUCGUCCGUUUUAUUUGAAAUUUUUUCUACGAUUAGUAUUUUUAUUGCUAUUAGAUAAUAAAACAUGAAUAGUACUUUAUACGUGACUUAUCUUUUUUUAAUAUUUUCAAUUUUUUCAAAUAAAACGAACAAUUAAAGUUGGAUACGGAAACUUAUGGAUGCGCUUAAA